UUGAAACCUGAAACUUUGGAUGGCUUGAAGCACAUUGGGUCAUACCGUUUUAGCAUCGCACAGUAUAAACUACACCCUCAAUAGCGGAGAGCUCUCUAUUGCCACCAUUCUUUUGUUCUCUGCACUGCUUUGGUAAUCCCAGGAAUCAUUUUGCUUUAGAUCAGGCCCGGUCCUGAUAUUUUUUGGGCUCUAGGCGAAACAAGAAGGAAAGGCCCCUUAUCUAAAUAUUUCACGCAUUGAGAAUUUCCAAGAGUGCAUUGCUACCAACAAGGUAGAAACAAGAAAUUUUCAUUUAAAAAAGAAACACAAUGAAAUGAAAAGAAAAAUGAAAACGCUGCCAUUAAGGAUCGAACCCGCGACGUGAACAGAAUGAGUCAAUUGAGCGACAUAAACCACUACGCCAAGUCAUUCUCUCAUUGACAAUUAUGUGUUUUAAAGUAUAUAGCUGUGAAUUGUUAAUGGACCAAUGUCCAGUGAGCAUUUGCUAAUUUGGGCCCUAGGCCGUUGCACUCCUCGCCUAUGCCUAGGGCCAGGCCUGCUUUAGAUUGAAAAUGAAGAAGCAUCUGACUUAAGUCAAUUGCCUGCUUCGAGCAAGAUUAAGUUCGAAGAGGGCGAAGAGAACGAUUCCUCAAGUGAAGACAGCGAGUCGUGUUCCGAAGAUGAGGAAGCUUGCAUACAAAAUGAACUUGCUGAUAUUCCCUUUGAAGAGUUGCAGAGGGCCCGUUCCGAUGGCACCCUUGCCUUACACCGGAAGCGUAAAUCUGAGAAUAAGUCUAAGCGAGCUAACAAAAAUAGGCCAAUGGAGGUGAGUAGCAAAACGCCUGUUAGUAGAUUCAGAGAAGUAAUUCAAAUGCCUAAGAAGGUAAAUGUCAGAACACCUGUGCUUGUUAUGGUGUUGAUUAUUUAGAAUGAUUCAAGCAGCAAUUAUGUGAAUCAUUAUUUCCUAAGGAGUUAAGAUUGUUUGGAAUACUAUGAUUGAGCUAGUCGUUUUAUGAUAUUCCACCACUUAGUCUGGAAACUAUUUAGCAGCAAAAUUUUUUUUUUUUUUUUAAUUACUGUGGGAGCAACUAUAAAGUUGUAAAAAGCCUUUCUCAAUCUAAAAAACAAUUCUCUCGAAA